UAGGCUCAUUGACUUUGUCCUAGAAGAUGCAAGUGAGAAUCAACUACACUGUACAGUUUGGGAUGCUCAUGUGGAUCAGCUGCUCCCUCAUUUCAAUUCUACCUCAAUUGAGCCAGUCGUUCUAUUGUUGCAGUUAUGCAGACCCAGGUUUCUAGACAAUAAGUAAUAUGCUCCUAAAUAAUUUUUUUUUUGUCCUGAUUUCAUAAUCACAAAUCAUAUCAAGUGAAGGUAAAAUAAAAGUAUUGGUUACCUGUUGAAAUGGUUUAUUUGUUCUAAUCCAUCUAUUCUUGGUUGUCAAUCUUUCCCAUCCUCAUCCUUUGUAGUGUUCUGUCUGCAAUAACAAAGUAAGAAUGUUAGACUUUUAA